rnacentral:rRNA from 1 species
UACAGAGGGUGCGAGCGUUGUUCGGAAUUACUGGGCGUAAAGCGCGCGUAGGUGGUGUGUUAAGUCUGCCGGUCAAAUGCCGAGGCUCAACCUCGUUGCACGCCGGGGAUACUGGCACGCUAGAGACAAGUAGAGGCAAGCGGAAUUCCGGGUGUAGCGGUGGAAUGCGUAGAGAUCCGGAAGAACACCGGAGGCGAAGGCGGCUUGCUGGGCUUGGGUCUGGACGCUGAGCGCGAAGACGGUGGGAGCGAA